rnacentral:rRNA from 1 species
UACGAAGGUUGCGAGCGUUGUUCGGAAUCACUGGGCUUAAAGAGCACGUAGGCGGCCCAUCAAGUGCCUUGUGAAAUCCCAUGGCUCAACCAUGGAAUUGCUUGGUAUACUGUUCGGGCUUGAGGCAGGUAUGGGCGUGUGGAACUCUUGGUGGAGCGGUGGAAUGCGUAGAUAUCAAGAGGAACGCCGGAGGCGAAAGCGAUACGCUGGGCCUGUCCUGACGCUGAGGUGCGAAAGCCAGGGGA